GAGGCAGCCUGGGAGGCCAGUGGAGUGGUCUUUCCUAAGGGCCUCACUUGGGGUAAGGCCCGGCAGGAGCUCCCUGCGCUUCCCAACACCUGUGGGGCCUGUGCCGCUGCUGAAUAUGGCCAAGAAAGAUGCAGUGCUCGUCCUGAAGACGGAACACAGGGCUCCUGCCCCUGGCCCUGGGUCAGGCCAGCCUUGGGGCUGCCAGCCUAGUGCGUGCAGGGGCGUGCUCUUCGAAUGACUCCCUGGCAGGCUCCGCACACUGACUGAGCUUACUUUUACCCCAGGAUAGAGAUCCGGAGUCAGCCUGGGACUUGGGAGCAUGGCAUUGAUGAUCACAUGGGCAACUCCAGUGUGGAGGGCCUUCGAGGUCCGCUAGAGCAAGCUGCCAGGCACAACCUGGUUCUUCCUCUCAGAAGAAUUGAAGACAAACACACGGAGAGGGUGCUCCAGCCUGGCGACACACAAAGAUGGCUCAGCACAGGAGCACGGGGAAGCCAGAGGCACGGAGCAAGCCUGUGGGGCGGGACAGGGCAUGUCACUCAGCUCAGCUCCUGUAGGACCAAAGCAGCACUCCUGAGGGCAGCAAGCAAAUGUCCCCUUUGUGUCUGGGGGGAGGUGCCAAAGCUCCCUGGCCCAGGCCCACCUUCCAGGGUUCAGCAGGUGCUCUCGGCAGCCCACUUUCAAGGAGACGGUGGGAGAGUGAUUCUCUGGACUUGAGCCUGGACGUGGAUUCUGGGCCCGCCACUCACCAGCCAGUGCAGAUGGUGAGCUGCCUCACUUCUCCACUCUCCCGUUACUUCGUACGUAAAGUGGGUUGAGCCUGCAAUCUCAGCUACUCAGAAGGCUGGAACUGCUUGGUCCCUUGGCUUCACCCCUGCUCUGGCCAAAAACUACAGAAUUGCUGCUGAGACCAGGAUCUGUGACCUGAAGAGGGAAUCUUGGGUGACUCCGGGGUUGAGGGCCGGGAGGAGGAGCUGGUCCCUGUGAGUCCUCCCCUCUUAAAAGUUGACAGAGCCAAGGUGACCUGGAAAUCAGCUCUUCCAAAUUCACUGCAGAAAGGAGACCAGUCCUUGGCAGAACAGCGGAUUAUCAGAUUUGGGAGGGGCCUACAGACCCAUUGACUCCAAGGGUCCCAUUGACCCCAAGAUUUCAGAACACAUGUGGGGGGGCUGCCAUUAGGUGGCCAACAUUUUCUUUUCACAAGUGAAGGCAUUAUAGGCCAUCUGGGAUCACCACCUUGCCAUAAAAGAUAGGACAUUUUAGCAAGAAAAAGUUAGGAGGAUAUAAUAUCAAAAUAAAUGAUGAGAUUCUUAAAUUGUA